GGGCCAGUAGAUCAACUCGGUAGAUCGCCUGCUUCGCAUGGUUUCCGAAAUUGUAGGAGGCUGAGGGUUCAAAUCCCUCCUGGUCCA
rnacentral:tRNA from 1 species